GACGAACGCUGGCGGCGUGCUUAACACAUGCAAGUCGAGCGAUGAAGUUCCUUCGGGAACGGUUUAGCGGCGGACGGGUGAGUAACACGUGGGUAACCUGCCUCAUAGAGGGGAAUAGCCUUCCGAAAGGAAGAUUAAUACCGCAUAAGAUUGUAAUGCCGCAUGGCAUAGCAAUUAAAGGAGCAAUCCGCUAUGAGAUGGACCCGCGUCGCAUUAGCUAGUUGGUGAGGUAACGGCUCACCAAGGCGACGAUGCGUAGCCGACCUGAGAGGGUGAUCGGCCACAUUGGGACUGAGACACGGCCCAGACUCCUACGGGAGGCAGCAGUGGGGAAUAUUGCACAAUGGGGGAAACCCUGAUGCAGCAACGCCGCGUGAGUGAUGACGGUCUUCGGAUUGUAAAGCUCUGUCUUUAGGGACGAUAAUGACGGUACCUAAGGAGGAAGCCACGGCUAACUACGUGCCAGCAGCCGCCGUAA
rnacentral:rRNA from 1 species